rnacentral:ncRNA from 1 species
UGCCUAUUUAAUUUUAGUAGCUUGCUCUUUUUCAUAGAGAUUGAAUCUAUAUGUGAAAAAAUUUUUUAGAAAAUAAUUUAGGUUCCAAAAUUAAUUUUUUUUUAAAAAAAAAUUAGUCAUUUAUGCAAAUUUUAACAAAAAUAGUGCCAGCAGUUGCGGUUACACUAUUAAAUUAAAAAGAGCUUUAUUUUUAAUAAGAAAAAUACUAUUUGAUGGAACUUAAUUUUAAAAAGUGAAAUUUUAAAAAUUAUUACCAUCAAAAUUUCUAACUUUAGAAGCUUUAUCUAAAACUAGGAUUAGAUACCCUACUAUAAAAUUUUAUUUAAAUUAAGUAGUAAAGGAAGACCUGAAACUUAAAAAAUUUGGCGGUGUUUUAAUCUAAUUAGAGGAACUUGUAAGACUAAUCGAAAUUACACGAAAAUUUUACUUAAACUCUGCCUGUAUAUCGUCGUAAAAAUAAUAUUUUAAAAUUAUUAUUAAGAAAAAUUUUAUUUUUAACAUCAGAUCAAGGUUCAGUUAAUGUUUAAGAAUUUUAUGAGUUACAAUAUAUUUAUAUAAACGGAUAAUUUGUUGAAAAAUAAAUUUUAAGGUGGAUUUAAAAGUAUUAAAAAAAUAAAAAAUUUCUUAGAAUUAGUUCUAAAACAUGCACAUAUCGCCCGUCACUCUCUUCUUUCUAAAAGAGAAAAGUCGUAACAUAGUAGAUGUACCGGAAGGUGCCUCUAGAAGCAA